rnacentral:rRNA from 1 species
GCUCUCGCUAGUGACCUGCGGAGGGAUCAUUACACAAAUAUGAAGGCGGGCUGGAACCUCUCGGGGUUACAGCCUUGCUGAAUUAUUCACCCUUGUCUUUUGCGUACUUCUUGUUUCCUUGGUGGGUUCGCCCACCACUAGGACAAACAUAAACCUUUUGUAAUUGCAAUCAGCGUCAGUAACAAAUUAAUAAUUACAACUUUCAACAACGGAUCUCUUGGUUCUGGCAUCGAUGAAGAACGCAGCGAAAUGCGAUAAGUAGUGUGAAUUGCAGAAUUCAGUGAAUCAUCGAAUCUUUGAACGCACAUUGCGCCCUUUGGUAUUCCAAAGGGCAUGCCUGUUCGAGCGUCAUUUGUACCCUCAAGCUUUGCUUGGUGUUGGGCGUCUUGUCUCUAGCUUUGCUGGAGACUCGCCUUAAAGUAAUUGGCAGCCGGCCUACUGGUUUCGGAGCGCAGCACAAGUCGCACUCUCUAUCAGCAAAGGUCUAGCAUCCAUUAAGCCUUUUUUUCAACUUUUGACCUCGGAUCAGGUAGGGAUACCCGCUGAACUUAAGCAUAUCAUAAGCCGGAG